UACGUAGGGUGCAAGCGUUAUCCGGAAUUAUUGGGCGUAAAGAGCUCGUAGGCGGUUUGUCGCGUCUGCUGUGAAAACUGGAGGCUCAACCUCCAGCCUGCAGUGGGUACGGGCAGACUAGAGUGCGGUAGGGGAGAUUGGAAUUCCUGGUGUAGCGGUGGAAUGCGCAGAUAUCAGGAGGAACACCGAUGGUGAAGGCAGAUCUCUGGGCCGUAACUGACGCUGAGGAGCGAAAGCAUGGGGAGCGAACAGG
rnacentral:rRNA from 1 species